GCCAGCAGCCAUAUCACCCUGCACCUCACAACUGGCAGCCCACUGAAGCUAAGCAGGUGUGAGCCUGGUCAGUACCUGGCUGGGAGGCCUCCUGGGAAAAACUAAGUUUUCUGCUGGAA
rnacentral:rRNA from 1 species